CCCCUCUCAGGAUCACACCUGGAGAGUUUCCAGUAUUCUACCAGUCUCGGCUAUGAGAGGGACAAUCAAGCAGAGUCCUGUCCAUUCCAUUCCUAGAUUGGGCAGUGGCUAGUGAGAGGAAGGCAAUCUGCUGCAAGU